rnacentral:rRNA from 1 species
AUUGAACGCUGGCGGCAUGCCUUACACAUGCAAGUCGAACGGCAGCACGGGUGCUUGCCCCUGGUGGCGAGUGGCGAACGGGUGAGUAAUACAUCGGAACAUGUCCUGUAGUGGGGGAUAGCCCGGCGAAAGCCGGAUUAAUACCGCAUACGAUCUACGGAUGAAAGCGGGGGACCUUCGGGCCUCGCGCUAUAGGGUUGGCCGAUGGCUGAUUAGCUAGUUGGUGGGGUAAAGGCCUACCAAGGCGACGAUCAGUAGCUGGUCUGAGAGGACGACCAGCCACACUGGGACUGAGACACAGCCCAGACUCCUACGGGAGGCAGCAGUGGGGAAUUUUGGACAAUGGGCGAAAGCCUGAUCCAGCAAUGCCGCGUGUGUGAAGAAGGCCUUCGGGUUGUAAAGCACUUUUGUCCGGAAAGAAAUCCUUGGCCCUAAUACGGUCGGGGGAUGACGGUACCGGAAGAAUAAGCACCGGCUAACUACGUG